rnacentral:misc_RNA from 1 species
UAUUAUUGCUUCUAUGUAUUCUUUUUUAGACAUGCCUCCUUGGAUAGCCCGUGGAGUACUUCUUAGUUCCAAAUAAAUAACAUUGUCAUCAUGAAAUUCUCGUAUCACAUGUUCUGUGGCAAUACGGACAUAUUCCGGCGCAGAGGUCAGCUCAUGAGCUAUCGAAAACAUCUUGAAACACCUUGAACAUAAAUGAAUUCUGGUCUCCCAGUUCCAUGGGCUGCAGCUGACGUUCACUUCUAUCUGCGUCCCCAUCGUUGCCGUUUAGAUUGUGCAAUGCGUUUAACUUUAGCAGUGUUCCAGGGCUCAAUGAUCCAUUCAGAUGCGCAUGCAG